GGAAAGGUGGCCGAGUGGUUGAAGGCGCCGCUCUCGAAAAGCGGUAUGGGUGAAAGCUCAUCGAGGGUUCGAAUCCCUCCCUUUCCG
rfam:Candidatus Magasanikbacteria bacterium RIFCSPHIGHO2_01_FTLL_50_8 rifcsphigho2_01_scaffold_12546, whole genome shotgun sequence.